rnacentral:rRNA from 1 species
GUCUACUGCCAUACCACUUUGAAUGUGCCUGAUGUUGGAAGCUAAGCAAGGUCAGGCCUGGUUAGACUUGGUAUGGGAGACCACUUGGGUAUAACAGGUGCUGUAGAGU